CACGAGGCGUAUGGGUCGGAGAGAGGCACAGAAUACAUCGCAUCUUAGACAUAACAGACACGCAUGCACACACAUACACACACACACACACGCACAGACACAGACAAACCCAUUUAUUCUUGUCGCUUCAAGAGAAAUAGGCAAGGUGCCCGUAGACUGAGUCGCUAUCAUGUGGUGGACAGCGGCGCGCAGGCGCCUCUACUACCCGAACCAAAUCUUCAUCAGCAAAGACAACCGCCGCAUUAAAAAUUCGUGGCUGCCGCGGCGGCUCCUCCUCGUGCGCCACGGCGAGUCGGAGGCAAAUGUCAACCGGGAGGUGUACAGCAACACGCCAGACUGGAAGAUCCCGCUGACGGCGCUCGGCCGGGAGCAGGCGUACGACUGCGGCAAGCGACUCCGCAACAUCAUCCAGGGGGAGAAGCUGUACAUCUACUACUCUCCGUACGCUCGCACUAGGCAGACCCUGAGCGAGAUCCGCCGAAGCUUCGACGAGUCGCAGAUCCAGGGCGAACGCGAGGAUGAGCGGCUGCGCGAGCAAGAGAUGGGCAACUACCAGCCCUUGCAGGAUAUGGACGCGACAUGGGCUGCGCGCCACGCCUUUGGGCGAUUGUACUAUCGCUUUCCGUUUGGGGAGAGCGGCGCCGAUGUCGGCGAUCGCGUCUCUGGCUUCUUCGACUCCCUCCUGCGCGAGAGCAUCGGCUUGACGGUGCCAAACAUGAACGAAUGCGUUGUGCAAGGCUCACGAGAGGGGCUUGGCGGCCUAGAUCUCGGCCUGUGGAGUACUGGCGUCGAUAACGUUCCAGGCAGCUCUUGCGGUUGCUCCGCGUCGUCGUCACAGGGAGGCCCUGCGGCAUCGUCGACGGGAAGCGAGUCUGCGCCGCCGUCGUGGACACCGUCGCCCCACCACGCCACGACGUCUUCCACCGGCCUGCGGAGGACGAUCCGGCGUACAUCUCCGCACCACCCGCUGCCUCUAUCGGGCCUUGGCGAGGUCGAAGCCCGCGGCGUCCUACCGCUGAACGACCAUGGCGCCAGCGCCGGCGAAGAUCAAAAUGUUCUGAUCAUCGCACACGGGCUCCUUAUCCGUCUUUUCAUUGGCCGCUGGUUCCGUGUGCCGAUGGAGGUCUUUGAGACGAUGUGCAACCCGCCCAACUGCGCCAUCAUUGUGCUGGAGCGCGACGACCGACUCGGCCGCCUCGUCAUGACGGACAUCAGCAAGAGUCUGUUUGGUAGCGACCCGCUGCUGCAGAUGAUGCGCUUUGACGGCCACGAGGACACUCGCUGGUACCGUGAAAAGUUCCUCGGCAUUGUGGACCCCACAAAGGCCGCGGAGGAGGCGGUGGCCGAGGAUGAUGACGAGAACCAUUAUUCCAUGUCAAACGCGCACAACAGCGGCGUCGGGGCCCCGGCCCCACCGCCACGACAACGCAAGCCCUCCACGUCGGCGGCAACACGGUCUUCUCCAUCGACAAGCGCACCUGCAUCAGGUACUAGUACUAGCAGCGCCGAGAGCGCGGACGCUUCAGCCUCUACAGCAGGGCACGCCGCGCUAGCUGCACGAGACCGCACUACCCAGUCCAAGUGCCCUCAUCCUUGCAUGGACUGUACACCAAAUCGCGACUACAUGAAGUUCUGUCGAGACGCUGAUGAUACCCCAAAGAUGGGUUCGGUGGAUUAGUCGCUGCUACGUCACUUGCUGCAUCGUUUUCUUUUUUUCGCGCUCGGUUUUCACCGUCGAUCGAUGCCGUUUUUACCCGCGAGUGCUGCAAAGGGAAGGAGGUCUUUGACCGCUUCACACGUGCGCACCUGUAAAGCGAGCGGCCGAUCACUCCCUCAGCUUCGUCGCGCCCCGCUUUCUCUAUUCCCCCCCCUCCUCCCCCCGCGCCGCGCUGCGUUCGCGUAGGCGUACACGUGUUUCUGCCGCAUGUCGAUACAAUGACCCUUCCUCUGAUGCUUUUGCCUUAUUUCGCUUGUUGCUGUGCGGAGCUUGGGUGUGCACGAGAACUUCGCCGCCACUGCUUUUC
rnacentral:misc_RNA from 1 species